rnacentral:rRNA from 1 species
GAUGAACGCUGGCGGCGUGCCUAAUACAUGCAAGUCGAGCGAACAGACGAGGAGCUUGCUCCUCUGACGUUAGCGGCGGACGGGUGAGUAACACGUGGAUAACCUACCUAUAAGACUGGGAUAACUUCGGGAAACCGGAGCUAAUACCGGAUAAUAUAUUGAACCGCAUGGUUCAAUAGUGAAAGACGGUUUUGCUGUCACUUAUAGAUGGAUCCGCGCCGCAUUAGCUAGUUGGUAAGGUAACGGCUUACCAAGGCGACGAUGCGUAGCCGACCUGAGAGGGUGAUCGGCCAAACUGGAACUGAGAAACGGUCCAACUCCCUACGGGAGGAAGCGGAAGGGAAUCUUCCGCAAGGGGCGAAAGCCUGACGGAGCAACGCCGCGUGAGUGAUGAAGGUCUUCGGAUCGUAAAACCUUGUUAUUAGGGAAGAACAAAUGGGUAAGUAACUAUGCACGUCUUGACGGUACCUAAUCAGAAAGCCACGGCUAACUACGU